ACGACCCAGGGGAGAACUUUUCGGU
rnacentral:piRNA from 1 species